rnacentral:rRNA from 1 species
GACGAACGCUGGCGGCGUGCUUAACACAUGCAAGUCGAACGGAAAGGCUCCAGCUUGCUGGAGUACUCGAGUGGCGAACGGGUGAGUAACACGUGGGUAAUCUGCCCUGCACUCUGGGAUAAGCCUGGGAAACUGGGUCUAAUACUGGAUAUGACCUUUCUCCUUAUGGGGUUUGGUGGAAAGUUUUUCGGUGUAGGAUGAGCCCGCGGCCUAUCAGCUUGUUGGUGGGGUGAUGGCCUAUCAAGGCGACGACGGGUAGCCGGCCUGAGAGGGUGAUCGGCCACAUUGGGACUGAGAUACGGCCCAGACUCCUACGGGAGGCAGCAGUGGGGAAUAUUGCACAAUGGGCGGAAGCCUGAUGCAGCGACGCCGCGUGAGGGAUGACGGCCUUCGGGUUGUAAACCUCUUUCAGCAGGGACGAAGCGUAAGUGACGGUACCUGCAGAAGAAGCACCGGCUAACUACGUGCCAGCAGCCGCGGUAACAC